GAUGGAUAAUAUGAGAUGGAGGGAGUAUGUUACAAGAAAAAUGGAGCCAAAAGUUAGUAGUUAAGGUAACCAUAUGAAAGGCUAAAGGUCGUCUAGUAAUUACAUAACUAACCCCUAAUAAUAAUGUCUAGUAAUUACAUAACUAACCCCUAAUAAUAAAUGGACCCUUGGGAGCAUGUUUAUCAUAUAUCACUAAUGUUUAAAAAGUCCAAUACAGUACAGCCCCUGUAAUUUACCAUGUAAAAGGUUAACGCAAUGUUUAUGCAUGCUAAACAUUACACAUGCAUCUCUUAGUUC
rnacentral:lncRNA from 1 species